rnacentral:scRNA from 1 species
UCGGUGGGGCCUUUGGCAUCGGUGGGACGCUC